GAGAACCUCAAAAUACAAGUGUAACAUUUAGCACAAACUAUCCAUUAUAAAUAUUUUCAUCUAAUAAACAUCAGCCUCUUUGAUAACUCUCAGUAAAUACAAUAAUUUAGUUUUCAGACAUUUAUUGCAAAGAAACAUUUGGUAGGUGCUACCCUGAUUUUUUAAAAGUCACAGGUUACAUUAACUAACUUUGUAAUGAGUAAACAGAUUGAACAGAGUGAAAAGUGUACACUGGCAAAUAGAGCAAGGACUUUGGAAUUUUGACCACAAUCCAGAUAGGACAGUUCAAAUUUGUAGAGCUGUACAAAGCUUUGGAAGAGCACCUGAACUGAAAUAUCCUUGCAAAAGCCUCAUCCAAGCAGAUGCAUUUUGACUUUCUGCACCUGAAGAAGUCCACUUGACUGGAGGCCUCAAUCAAGGUUUAAGUGAUGUCCUGACCAUGCGGUCUAGAGCAGAGGGUCUCCAAACUUGGCAACUUUAAAGACUUGUGGACUUCAACUCACAGAAUUGCCAGCUGAGGAAGUCUGGGAGUUGAAGUCCACAAAUCUUAAAGUUGCCAAAUUUGAUCUAGAGAUUAUCUUCCCCCUGAUUUCACUGGGAUUUAAACACAACUAAAAUGCAUACCCAUGGCAGGCUGCGGGAGGUAAAGAUAAUGGAUAAAUUGGAUGAAAUGAUCAGCGAUAACUGAAAAGUCCAUACGAAAUUUUGAGAUUGCCACUAGGGAUUGGUCAAAAUGGAGGACAUUUGCCCAUAUGAUAAUCAGGGCCAGACUUGAUCCGAUGACACUAAACUAAUAUAUAAGAAGAUUGUGCCGAGUACAAAACGGGAAAACACAUUUGUCAAUAAGUUAGAUUUAUCUGUAAUAAGUUAGUUGCCUUGUAAUACUUUAUAUUUUAAAUACUAUUUUAGUCAAAGAUGUGUAUUAAUUCUUAAUCAAUUUUCCUAUAUGUGAUAAAUAAUAUAUAUUAUUUAUAUUAUAUAUAAAUAGUGCAUCUGUGAGCACUGGAAAAUAUACUCACAUUUUCUAUCCACAAAGGCACCAUUGUUCAGCACCAUUGUAAUUUCUAGUGGUUGUUGAACAAAUGGUCAUAAGUCAAGAACUACCUGUAGCUAGGACUGCCCUUAGGAAGCAGUUCGUCACAUAUAAAUAUUAUGUACUAUAAAAACACUUUCACAUGUUUAGUUCUGUUUCAUUCAACAAUUCAUUUGCUGGAUACUUUUCUUCAAUUUCAAUCUCCUUAAUUAACUAACCCUAACCCUCCAUUCAUUACAAUACAAACACUGCAACAAGCAACUUCAAUAGGGAUGCCAAAAGGAAACUGGAAAUUGCAGUCACAUGAUGUCGUGAUUAAUAAGCAGACAUAAUUCAUUUAAUGACUGCAGCCAGAACUGAUGUUGUAAGUUGGCAUGGUCAUUUACCAUUUUCUAUCAUGUUUAGUGACCAAUUGUGGAUAGCAGGUCAGGAUUGCCUGUAUGGUUUUCCCCUUUUGACAAAGUUUUUUUUAUAAUGAUCUACCAGGAUAUCUUCUCUGCCCAGUUUUUA